GAACUGUAGAAAGGUCAGCUCAUCCUUCACAGGGAGGAAGAGGCCUCUGGGCUAAACAACACGCAUGUGGUUAAGGCAUCGCCACCUCGAUUGUGGCAUUGAACCACUGUACCCA
ensembl:snRNA Gm26357 predicted gene, 26357